rnacentral:rRNA from 1 species
CACGAACGCUGGCGGCAGGCUUAACACAUGCAAGUCGAGCGCCCCGCAAGGGGAGCGGCAGACGGGUGAGUAACGCGUGGGAAUCUACCCAUCUCUACGGAAUAACGCAUGGAAACGUGUGCUAAUACCGUAUACGUCCUUCGGGAGAAAGAUUUAUCGGAGAUGGAUGAGCCCGCGUUGGAUUAGCUAGUUGGUGGGGUAAAGGCCUACCAAGGCGACGAUCCAUAGCUGGUCUGGGAGGAUGAUCAGCCACACUGGGACUGAGACACGGCCCAGACUCCUACGGGAGGCAGCAGUGGGGAAUAUUGGACAAUGGGCGCAAGCCUGAUCCAGCCAUGCCGCGUGAGUGAUGAAGGCCCUAGGGUUGUAAAGCUCCUUCACCGGUGAAGAUAAUGACGGUAACCGGAGAAGAAGCCCCGGCUAACUUCGUGCCAGCCGCCGCAGUAACAC